GAGAUUUUAUCGCCGAUAUUACUACGUAUCUAAAAAAUUCGAUUGAUUCAUGAAAACAUGGACAUGGAAUUUUCGAAACUUCGUAGAUAUACAUACGUAAGUAAUUGUAAGAAGAACGGUUCGUGUAUUACUCGAUAGGGUGUGUAUACGGCGUACACAGAACGAUGUUAGACGUUUGAUUAAUAGCGUCAGCGCUGAUUGGUCACGCUACUAAUAAAGGAGCGUUCACACGUAUUAAAAGUUCGCGCCUCUGCGUCCACGCCGGUGUGCUCAGCGUCUUCGGUCAUUGUAGUCUAGUGUUGGCACGAUAUAACGAGGGAAUGGCGUGUCUUGCUCAUAAUUGAACCGAGCACCUACAAUCCAAUCGUUCUUAAUCAUUCGAAUUCAUCUCGCUUGCAAGUUUCAUUCUCCUUUAUUAUUCGUUGUCUUACCAACCUGCGAAACUUAUCCGAAAUCCAUAUUCCUUUUUUGCUAAUAACCGUUAUGGACAUUUUUUUGAUUAUUCUUGAAUAUUCAAAUAGAUUAUUCCAACAUGAUUGUUCGACAAGGGUCGAAGGACGGUUGCUUUGAAAGGAUAUUCAUUAUGUCCCUGAAAGUGCGGAGUCUUCGUAACAGCUUUUAAAAGGUGACAAAAUCCCCUUAGAGCACGGUUCGCAAGGGGUCAAAAAGAAGGGAGUUAGAGGAAAAAGAACUUUCCAUCUUCUGAUUGGAAGAGUUGAUGAUUAUUAUUUUUCAUUUGAUCAAUUAAAGGAAUUUGAGGCGAGAUGAAUAUAAUGAAUUGGGAAAAUAAUUUGAAGAAUUGAUUAUUUGAGGAACAUUCAGAAUAAGUAUUGAACAAUGAAUAAGGUAUAUUCUAAAAUUUAUAAAUUAUAUAUUUAUCGAAAAAUAAAAAGCUUCUU